AUGAUUUGACGAAAGAAAAUCUGUCUUAGCUUAUUAAAAAAAAAAUAACCUAGAAGUUAAAAGGCUUCUAUUUCCUAAAGGGACGACAAGACCCUAUAAAGCUUUAUUUAUAAUAUUUUUAUUUACUUCAAUAAAAAAUAUAAAUUUAUAAAUUCUAUUGGGGCGAUAGAUAAAUAAACAUUAUUGACUAUAACGUCUUUAACGAAAUUUAUAAAAUGUUUUUAAAAUAUACAACAAGUUACUUUAGGGAUAACAGCAUAAUUUCUUUUUAGAGUCCUUAUCGACAAAGAAGAUUGUGACCUCGAUGUUGGAUUAAG
rnacentral:rRNA from 1 species